rnacentral:lncRNA from 9 species
GAAGGCAGCAGAAAGGGACCGAGAAAAGGCCAUUCCUGGACACCCACUCAAUAGGUGUAUUGAGUCUUUGGACAAAAAAUUUCAACUCAGCAACCAAACUGAAUACUGUUUAAAGAGGAAGGAAGGAAGAAUGCUUCAAUGUCUUACGUUCGAACUGGGAAAAGAAGACCCGUGUACAGAAGUUUUGUCCUCCCCAGGAUCAUAAAUAACCUCCAAAGUAAAAGCACAUCCGUGACUAUUUGGACAACUUGUAGGUAGGUGGUGGAGCAAAAGAAACCUAAACUGAAAGCAAUCUUGCCAUUCAACACAAGAUUCAUGGUAUCCAGGAGCUCGCCUGUUCGUUGCAUCUUCAAGGAGACCCAGCAUGCUAGCAAAGUUGCCUGAUAAAUAUGCCACAUCUCUCUGCACAGGUUCAAACGCAUCCCUGGUCAUGUCAGCAUUUUGAUGCUUCCUGGGGGCCCUUCUCUUUCUCAUUAGCAUUUUCAGAAGGUUAUAUGACUCAAAUCUAUUAAGCAGAUAACCCCCGCCCCCAGCAAGUUGUGAGGGGCUAGAGAGAGAGAAGACAGGGCAAUGAACUUGGAGGAGAUUCACACCCCUGCCCCACAUUCUUCUGGGAACUGGAAAGUCUGUGUCUUUUGCGAUGAAAGAACAGGUUAUGACCCCUUCAGACACUGUCUCUGGAGAGGUAAAGUUCACAAGCUGCAGAGGAGGGGGCACUCAUCCUAAAGGAUCCUUGCUGCUGACUCCAUCUCUGUCCUUGAAGAGACCUUUUUUGCUUCUCUAGACACUUGUAGGCACCCUGGUGAGUUGACCCCAGGGACUCACAUUUCAUUUUGAUACCAGUCCUCUGGCUGUCACAUUCACUUCAACUUAACCCCUCCUUUCAUGGGAAUGACCUAGAGAUGGCUGCCUGAAGGAGACAGUGUGUCUCUGGUGUUUGGCAGAACAUAUAAUGAUGGUCCCUUCUCAAGAAUAGGGAGGAGAGAUGAUGGUGAAACACAGGCACAGGGGUGCCUCUGUCUAGCUAUUUAGGAGUUGUUGAACUAAAAGACUGAUUUUAGAAAGUGGUAGCUCAGAGCAGAACACAGCUCCCAUGCUGUUUGAGGGAAAGAGAUCAGGAAACAAAAGGUUUUAAGUCAGGAGCAAUUCUGACUUAAUAGAAACUGGUAGCUUCUUUGGACCAACUCGUAAGUGGAUUUGAAGAUAGAGACAGAAUGUUUUUGGAAAUCCUCUUAAAGUAACCCUGGAAGGAGGAUAGCCUGGGCUUGGCUCCUUAAUAGAGGUAUCCAGAAGAAAUUAAGUAAUUUUCAUUCCCUGAUCUGGAUAAGGCUAGAAAGGUAUUGAUUCUCUACAGGCAAAUGCAGAUUCACCAGCAUGAAUUCAUUUGUAUUGUCUGCAAGCAAGUCGUCCUCUUUUAUAUGAAAAAUGAUUUGGAACAGGUUUUAGGAUGAGAAAUCUGGUGCAGUUCAGCGGGAUGGAUUUAGGAGGGAAGAGGUGGUGAGAGGAAGUCGUUAGAAGGCUCUUGUGAUUGAAUAUUAAGAUCAUGGAGCCUGGAAUUGCAAUGGUAGCCCUGGAACUGGAGAAGAAUUUGUUACUGAUCAAAAAGGCCUUGCAGGAAAGUUCUUCAACAAAAAAGAAAAAAAAUGGGCAAAAUGUGGGAAAAAAUACUUGCCACAAAUAUGAUGGACAAAAGUGAAUAUUCUAAACAUUUAAAAAACGUAUGGAGAGGAGAGUUCCCAUCAUGGUGCAGUGGAAACAAAUCCGACUAGGAACCAUGAGGUUGAAGGUUUGUUCCCUGGCCUCGUUCAGUGGGUUAAGGAUCUGGCAUUGCUGUGUGCUAUGGUGCAGGUCACAGAUGCAGCUCAGAUCUGGUGCUGCUGUUGCUCUGGCAUAGGCUGGCAACUGUAGCUCCAAUUAGACCCCUAGCCUGGGAACCUCCAUAUGCUGUGGGUGUGGCCCUGAAAAAAGACAAAAAGACAAAAGACAAAAAAUAAAUAAAAUUUAAAAAUUAAAAAUUAAAAACAUAUGGACAAAAAAACACAGAGAUCCAACAGCCCUAAGGGCAGAGGGAAUGGAUGGGAAAUUCCCAUAGAAAGAAUAUAGAUGAGGUAAUAUACAUGCAGAAAUGUUUAGCCUCACUAGUGGUUAACAAACUAAAAAUUUAAACAGUGAUUUUUUUUUUUUAGCAAUCACAUAAUUCAUUUAAAAAUGAUAAUGUUCAUACAGCAUGGUUAAUGUGUUAAUUGGCAUAAUAUUUCUGGAAAGGACUUUGAUGAUAUAACAGAAAAUUUUAAAAUGUUUCCACCCUUUGAUUCACAUUCUACUUUUCAAUGACUAUCCUAAAGAUGUAAGUUAUUAACACAGACUUACUUGUUUAUCAAGGUGGUUUUUAGAAUAGCAAAAGCAAGGAAGACAGGGAAACAACCAAAUGUCCAAUACCGGGGACGUGUUGAAUAAAUUAUGACAUAUUCUACCAUAUGAUGAACCAUUAAGAAAUUAUUAAAGUUGUAUUUUCUUCACAGUGAAAAUAUCUUUAUAUAAUGCUAAUACAUGUUUUUAUGCAACAUAUAGUUAUUUCACGAUAUGAUUUCAAUUGUUUAUAUAUGUGCAUGCAUUAUUCUAUGAAUAUACAUAAAAGGUAUGAUCAAAACAAAA